AUAUGUGAGGUCCAUUAGGAUGUGACAUCGAUCACCUCAUUGAUAGCAAGGUUCUAUUCAGCUGGGCUGGCUAGGUUAUGUCCCCUUCCUCUCCUACAUUCACGUGUGACUCCUAUCCCAGAAGCUGUGAGACUGGUCAAAGCAAGUGGUGUUUUCAAUUGGAGGAGGCCUAUCCUUGGUCAAAGGUAUGUGAGUCUGUAUGCUCCCCUGUUGGAGCACCAGGAGAACUACCGUAUUUGAGCCAAACAAAGUUUUAAGAAAUUUGAAAGUGACUCACUAAGUUGUGGGAUGUAGUAAGAGGUUUUU
rnacentral:snRNA from 1 species